rfam:Salmo salar isolate Sally breed double haploid chromosome ssa06, whole genome shotgun sequence.
UUAUUCUAUUUUUGUAAGUCGCUCUGGAUAAGAGCGUCUGCUAAAUGACUUAAA